CUUGAACUCCUGGACACAAGGCAGAGAGUUUUCUCUGGUUAGUGGAAGAAGAACUAACAGAUUUGGAGCAUGAAGAUUUGAAGCUGCUGUUGUUGGCUGACAAUGGGGGGAGCUGUGUGUCAACAAAUAGAGACUUAAUCCUACAACUGCAAGAAACUAAAUUUUGAACAAUGAGCCUGGGAGUGGAUCUAUGCCCCAGAGCCUCCAGAUGAGAACUCAGCCUAAAUAACACCUUGAUUUCAGGCCUGUGAUAUUGAACAAAGAACUAGCCACACCUUGCUAGACUUGACCUACAGAACUGUGAUCUAACAAGCUGACAUUUAUUUUCAGCCAUUUUGUUUGUGGUAACUUGCUAUGCAGCAAUAGAAAACUAAUGCAGCUUGCCUCCGCUCCACAUGGCUGGCUGGAGUAUACAGAUUGAGAGCUGAAGGUUCUAUUUCCAAGAUGGCUCACCUACACGGUUGGCAAAUUGGUGCUCAUUGUAUGUGGGAUGAUAAUGGCUGGAGGCUUCACUUUCUCUUCAUAUGGGCCUUUACACAGGCUGCUUGGCUUCCCUACAGCAGGUGGCUAAUUUCCAAGAGCAAGAGUCCCAAGAGAACAAGGAGAAAAUAAAUGGCAGCUUUAUGACCUAGCCUAGGAAACUACAUAACAUAAUUUUCAUCAUAUUCUGUUGGUUAAGGCCAUCACAAAGGUCUGUUAAGGCUUAAGAGGGAGAAACAUAACUUACCACUCAAUCAGAGCAUCUUCAACAUCACAUUGUAAGAAAUGUAUGAGAUGUGAUGCUUGUGAUAGCCAUAUUUGAAACAUAUGAUUACAUGGUGAUGUAAUGACUCACUCCCAUCUCAAUAUCCAUUGUUUUUAAAUUGUUAACAUUUGAGGGAAAGUUGAAAAUGAUGACAGUGCAAAAAAAUUUAAAAAAAAAAGCAUUGUUACAUCCAGUGUAGGUCAGGGAUAUGAAUGUGUUUGAAUAAUAAAUCCCAGAAUAAUAAAUGUCAAGAACACCUGCUAACUUUAAUAUUAACUUAAAUUUCGAGAAAACUCCCAAGAUGUUAAAAAUAGGCAGUGAGAAUAAAAAUUGGGAGCUAUUUGAAUAUAAAUGUGCUAUUUUAACCUUAGUUAACUUGAAAAAAUUGAAAUAUACCACAAGUGUUUUCUUGAACACUUAAUGUUUGUAACAUUAAUAAUAGUCACAUUUCAUACAUUGCAUAUUUUGCUUUCCUUGAUAUGUAAAUGCUAAGAAACUAUAAAACUAUUAUUCACCCAGAUAUAAACUGCAGGCAGUUUUUCUAUUACAGAGUUAAGUGUAUGAUUUUGGCUUUUUUUUCCAGAAAAUGAAAAAGUUCAAUAUUGUUUUUAUUUACAGAAUAUCAUGAUAAAUAAAUAUAAAAAGCCAUAACAUUAGUCCUUAAGAUGAUCUAGACUGCAUAAAUAUAUACAAAUUAUUCCUCUUCAUCUUCUAUACUUGGAUGAUUAAAAAUAAUUGAAUCUCACUACUAAGUGAACCAGACAUAAGGAAACCACACUUCAAUUCAUGAAAGCAUAUGCAUUCAUUUCUAAAGUUAAAAUUUUGGUCGAAUAAUGUAUAGAUUUGUCAAAAUAAAAAUGACUUCCAUUUUAUAUAACGUCAUAAGCCUAGAAUUUCACAAUUAUAAGAGAAGCUUUAUAUAAAUGACAAAAACUAGGAAAUGCAUUUUUCACAUUUUAAUUACAAUUCACAUGUCUGUAUCUCCUGCUGUGAUGUUUUGCCAAAAAGAGAUCUCAUUUGUGAAACUGCCAGUAUAGAAAGUGACAGAUGGUAAGACCAGUUUCCAACCUGCUAUAGUACUGGUUUAAUAUGGUUUAGAUUAUUUUAUUAGCAUUGUUUACUUUUAUUAUAUAUCUAAGUAGUACCAGAAUACUAUUACAGUUUGUUUCAUUUCUUCUAUGGUUAUAACUGUAUCUAUUUAUAUGAUUUAUAUACCUGAUUUAGUUUUAGUUUCAGAUUUUAUCAAUACACUAUUUUUAGGUACGGUUUAACUGAUGUUUUAUUUUAAAAAUAGGACAAAAUGUCCUAUUCAUUUUGAUAAAAUGUCUACAACCCACAUAGAUACCUAGGGACAAUCAUAAUAGAAAAACUCAAAAGCCCAAUUAAAAGAAAAUCACUUUGAUUAUAUAACCCAUAGCCAUCAAGAAAUUAAUCAAUUAAUUGGGUUAACUUUUUAAAAAUAUUACAAUCAGAAAAAAUAGUACAACAGUUCACCCUUAUCCACAGUUUUACUUUCUGCUGUUUCAGCUACCUGAGGAACGUUGCAGUCCAAAAAUACUAAACAGAAAAUUCCAAAAAUAAACAAUUCAUAAGUUUUAAAUUGUGUGCCAUUUUGAGUAAUGUGAUAAAAUCUCAGUCCUUCCCACUCCAUACGCCGGGACGUGAGUCAUCCCUUUGUCCAGCAUAGCCAGCUGUACAUACUACCUGCUUGUUAGUCAUUUAGUAGCCCUCUUGGUUAUCAGAGCGCACACGCACACACACACACACACACAAAUAUAUAUGUGUGUGUGUAUGUAUGUGUAUAUAUAAAUGUUUUUAUUCCGUGUGUGUGUGUAUGUGUGUGAUAUUAUCUAUGGUUUCAGACAUUCACUGGGAGUCUUUGAACAUAUCCCCCAAGGAUAAAAGAGAACUACUGUAUUCAAACAUAAAAAAGUAUUCCAUGUGAAAGCAUGAAAUCCUAAAGUUAUUUUCCCAAAGACCUCAUUAGUUAUAUUUGGAAAUAGAAAAGUGGCUCAUGCCUUUAAUCCCAGCACUUUGGGAGGCUGAGUGUGGAGGAUCCCUUGAGCCCAGGAGUUCGAGACCAGCCUGGGCAACAUGGUGAGACUCUGUUUCCAAAAAAACAAUUAAUUAAUUAAAAAAAUAAAGAGAAACAAAGAUGUGAAAAUGAUAUAAAAGUUUCUAAUGGUGAAUCUGUUUACAAAAUUUUUUGUUUUAUGUUAAUAAACAUUAUUUUAACUCAGUUUUCCUCCCUUAAUAAACAGAGAGGCUUAAAUUCAGAGAACAUUAAUGUUAGCUCUUGCCUCCUUUCACUACAUUUCACCACUUAAAUGUGAAAAAUGCAUUUCCUAGUUUUUGUCAUUUAUAUAAAGCUACUCUUAUAUUGUGAAAUUCUGGGCUCAUGGCGUUAUGUAAAAUGGAAAUCAUUUUUAUUUUGACAAAUCUAUACACUAUUCGAAAUUUUUUCAGCUCCCUAAACUGGGUAGUCUUCCUGGAAAUUCAAGAUUACUUCAGUUGCUGGGUAAGAGAUGCCUCUCCAUGUCCUCUAUUAUCCAUCCUCUUAGCCCACAAAAUGGGCUUAGAAUUACAUCAUUUGGUAAAUCCGGGACAUGAUAGCCAAGAUACAAGGAUAGUGGCUUACAUUCACCUUUAUAGUCUUGCUCCCAAGUAUGUCCUACAGCAUGAAUCCUAGGUGUCUUGUGGAGUUUCCAGACCAAAGACAGCUCAUGCAGUGAGUGCUUUGACCCAGUCACCUGAGUUUAGCUUCUGCCUAGAUUUCCACAUGAAUAGAUCUUGCUGUCCUGCCACUGGGCAGAAUUUCCACAGCAAAAAGACAAUUUACCAAGUAUAGUCACCACUAUCAGAUAUCUGAAGAAUAAUUUUAUUUAAAGUCUUGUCUACUGUGCCUUGUCUACCUGGAAACUUGCCCAGCUAAGAGUUUUCUACAUUAAGAUUGAGUUUUUCUGUGCUCUCUGGACCUAGAACUGCAGCUGAGUCCAUCUGCACAUCUCCUAUCUCACACUUUCUCAUCAGUCCUUGUCUUGAACUAAGUGCCAGUUUUAGCCUUGAUGUCAAUUAACUAGUCCUGUCGCUCUAAGGUACUAAUGAUGCCACUUUCAUAUUACAAAAGUCAUCACAGAAGGAUAAUUUACUUCUUAGUAAUAUGAAAGAAAUCCAGAAUGCUAAUAACAUAUGCGUAAUAUUUUCUUGAAUUUUUGUAUUCCAUUAGGCUAAAACAACUAGGGGAAAUGGUCUUCAUAUAUUUUUUCAUAAUGAUUGGCUAAUCACGAUAGAGUAUAAAGUAAAUCAAAGAAACAUAAAAUAGCUUGGAAAGAACAAAAGAAAUGCAAUUUAAAAAUGUUUAAUGACACUCCACCUACAAACAUUGUUUUACAAAUGUAUUAAAGUUAAUUCUCUUUCUAAAAUGUCUUAGACUAGUAAUAGGGUUGGGGAAAAAAAUCUCCCUUUCCUUCCCUGGGCUAUAAUUUUACUUUUUAGGUAUGACUACUGAGGAAUUUCUAAUUUGGCUCAUCACUUCAGUGGGAAUUCAGUGCACAUAAGGGGCACAUAUGUAAUUGGCAACCUAAUUUUUCUGCUUUCAUCAAAUGGUGCAAUGCCAAAUCUUCAUUGAACUUGCCAGUUAAAUGCACUUGGGAACCAAACAGCAGCAAGCAUACAUGAGAUUAAAAUGAACAAAUUGGAAAGAGUCAUUAACUUUUUCUGUUUUCCUAUCACAACAAAAAUUGUAUCAUUGAAAGUGUUGCAAAGUGGGGAAUUCUACUUGAAACAUUAAACAAUCUUAAAAGAGAAUAAUUCAUUUACUUAACUUCUAAAAUGUGGUUCAUUAUAAUUUAUAAAUGGGGUUUCUAGUGCAGAUUUUUUUCAACAAAAAUACAAAAUCAUUAAAAUGAAUAAACUUUUCAGGAGUAUGUUUUAAGUUAUAUGUUUCACAUGUCUUUCUGGUCUAGUGCAUAUAAAUUCUAGCCUUUAUUUGGAAAGAAAAAUUGUCAGAAAAUUAAGCAAGAAAUGUUGGCUUCCUGUAAUACCGUAAUGAAUAAAGGCAAUUGACA
rnacentral:lncRNA from 10 species